rnacentral:rRNA from 1 species
UAAGGUGUUUAUAGCAUUGGGGAACCACCUCUAACCAUUCCGAACAGAGAAGUUAAGCCCAAUAGCGCCGAUGGUACUGCAGAGAUGUGGGAGAGUAGGUCGAUGCCGAAU